rnacentral:rRNA from 1 species
GACGAACGCUGGCGGCGUGCUUAACACAUGCAAGUCGAACGGAAAGGCCUCUUUCGGGGGGUACUCGAGUGGCGAACGGGUGAGUAACACGUGAGUAACCUGCCCUUGACUUUGGGAUAACUUCAGGAAACUGGGGCUAAUACCGGAUAGGAGCUCCUGCUGCAUGGUGGGGGUUGGAAAGUUUCGGCGGUUGGGGAUGGACUCGCGGCUUAUCAGCUUGUUGGUGGGGUAGUGGCUUACCAAGGCCUUGACGGGUAGCCGGCCUGAGAGGGUGACCGGCCACAUUGGGACUGAGAUACGGCCCAGACUCCGACGGGAGGCAGCAGUGGGGAAUAUUGCACAAGGGGUGGCAGCCUGAUGCAGCAACGCCGUGUGCGGGAUGACGGCCUUCGGGUUGUAAACCGCUUUCGCUCAUGACGAAGCUUUGUGUGACGGUAGUGGGUAAAGAAGCACCGGCUAACUACGUG